AAUGAACGCUGGCGGCGUGCCUAACACAUGCAAGUCGUGCGAGAAAUCCCGAGCUUGCUUGGGAGAGUAAAGUGGCGCACGGGUGAGUAACGCGUGGGUAACCCACCUUCGAAUCUGGGAUAACACCGCGAAAGCGGUGCUAAUACCGGAUAAGACCACAGCCGUUUCGGCGGCAGAGGUAAAAGCUGACCUCUCCAUGGAAGUUAGCGUUCGAGGACGGGCCCGCGUCCUAUCAGCUUGUUGGUGGGGUAAUGGCCUACCAAGGCAGCGACGGGUAGCUGGUCUGAGAGGAUGAUCAGCCACACUGGAACUGGAACACGGUCCAGACUCCUACGGGAGGCAGCAGUGAGGAAUUUUGCGCAAUGGGGGAAACCCUGACGCAGCAACGCCGCGUGGGUGAAGAAGGCUUUCGGGUCGUAAAGCCCUGUCAGGUGGGAAGAACCGUUUCGAUACUAAUAAUGUCGAAGCCUGACGGUACCACCAGAGGAAGCACCGGCCAACUCCGUG
rnacentral:rRNA from 1 species